UCUACGGGAGGCUGCAGUCGAGAAUCUUUCGCAAUGCCCGAAAGGGUGACGAAGCGACGCCGCGUGCGGGAGGAAGGCCUUCGGGUUGUAAACCGCUGUCGGGAGUUAAGAAAUGCAAGGAUGUUAAUAGCGUUCUUGCUUGACUAAGGCUCCGGAGGAAGCCACGGCUAACUCUGUGCCAGCAGCCGCGGUAAUACAGAGGCGGCAAGCGUUGUUCGGAAUUAUUGGGCGUAAAGAGCACGUAGGCGGCUGUGUAAGUCGGUUGUGAAAGCCUUCCGCUCAACGGAAGAACGGCAUCCGAUACUGCAUAGCUUGAGUGUGGGAGGGGAGAGUGGAACUUCUGGUGGGGCGGUGAAAUGCGUAGAUAUCAGAAGGAACACCGGCGGCGAAGGCGACUCUCUGGUCCAUAACUGACGCUGAGUGUGCGAAAGCUAGGGGAGCAAACGGGAUUAGAUACCCCGGUAGUCCUAGCCGUAAACGAUGGGCACUAAGUAGAGGGGUUUUGAUUAUCUCUCUGCCGGAGCUAACGCAUUAAGUGCCCCGCCUGGGGAGUACGGCCGCAAGGCUAAAACUCAAAAGAAUUGACGGGG
rnacentral:rRNA from 1 species